rnacentral:rRNA from 1 species
AGCGGUAGAGAAAAGCUUGCUUUUCUUGAGAGCGGCGGACGGGUGAGUAAUGCCUAGGAAUCUGCCUGGUAGUGGGGGAUAACGUCCGGAAACGGACGCUAAUACCGCAUACGUCCUACGGGAGAAAGCAGGGGACCUUCGGGCCUUGCGCUAUCAGAUGAGCCUAGGUCGGAUUAGCUAGUUGGUGAGGUAAUGGCUCACCAAGGCGACGAUCCGUAACUGGUCUGAGAGGAUGAUCAGUCACACUGGAACUGAGACACGGUCCAGACUCCUACGGGAGGCAGCAGUGGGGAAUAUUGGACAAUGGGCGAAAGCCUGAUCCAGCCAUGCCGCGUGUGUGAAGAAGGUCUUCGGAUUGUAAAGCACUUUAAGUUGGGAGGAAGGGUUGUAGAUUAAUACUCUGCAAUUUUGACGUUACCGACAGAAUAAGCACCGGCUAACUCUGUGCCAGCAGCCGCGGUAAUACAGAGGGUGCAAGCGUUAAUCGGAAUUACUGGGCGUAAAGCGCGCGUAGGUGGUUUGUUAAGUUGGAUGUGAAAGCCCCGGGCUCAACCUGGGAACUGCAUUCAAAACUGACAAGCUAGAGUAUGGUAGAGGGUGGUGGAAUUUCCUGUGUAGCGGUGAAAUGCGUAGAUAUAGGAAGGAACACCAGUGGCGAAGGCGACCACCUGGACUGAUACUGACACUGAGGUG